CAGCCGCCGCGGUAAAACGUAGGUGGCAAGCGUUGUCCGGGAUUAUUGGGCGUAAAGGGCUCGCAGGCGGUUUCUUAAGUCUGAUGUGAAAGCCCCCGGCUCAACCGGGGAGGGUCAUUGGAAACUGGGAAACUUGAGUGCAGAAGAGGAGAGUGGAAUUCCACGUGUAGCGGUGAAAUGCGUAGAGAUGUGGAGGAACACCAGUGGCGAAGGCGACUCUCUGGUCUGUAACUGACGCUGAGGAGCGAAAGCGUGGGGAGCGAACAGGAUUAGAUACCCCGGUAGUCCCUGUCUCUUAUAC
rnacentral:rRNA from 1 species